UACAGAGGUCUCAAGCGUUGUUCGGAUUCAUUGGGCGUAAAGGGUGCGUAGGUGGCGGCGCAAGUCUGGCGUGAAAUCCCGGGGCUCAACCCCGGAAUGGCGCCGGAUACUGCGUGGCUCGAGGACUGUAGAGGAGAGAGGAAUUCACGGUGUAGCAGUGAAAUGCGUAAAUAUCGUGAGGAAGACCAGUUGCGAAGGCGUCUCUCUGGGCAGUUCCUGACACUGAGGCACGAAGGCCAGGGGAGCAAACGGG
rnacentral:rRNA from 1 species